AUGCCAGCACCACACAGCGCUAGCCCACGGCAGCACCGCGCAUCACCGACGGCGCCCCGCGGCGCUCCAUUGCAGCCUCGGCGGCGCUUCGAUGCAACCCCGGCGAAGCUUCAAUGCCCCCGGCGGUGCUUCAAUGCAGCUCCGGUGAUGAUUCAUUACAGCUCCAGCGGUGAUUCAUUGCAACCCGACGGAGCUUUCGACGACGCCUCGGCGUUUCAUUGCAGCUCCGCAGACCUGGCGAUGCUCCACUGUAGCAAAGUGGCCUGGCGAGCUCCAUGGCAGCACCGGCGGCGGCGGAUGCUGCAACGCAGAUGCGGCGACGAUGGCGGAUGCAGCAAUGCAACAGCGACAAGUCGACUACACACGGCCGCACCGACGAAUGCUUUCGAUGCAAAGACAGCAACAACAACAGGCGGCGCCGACAGGUGGUGCGACGGGGACGGGGGAUGCAGCGAGGUAACAUCGACGGCGCCGAUGGAUGCUUCGAUGCAGCGCACAGAAACGACAGCACACGGCCAGGGAGGGAUUCAGUAG
rnacentral:rRNA from 1 species